UUUCGCCUACGGGGGGCAGCAGUGGGGAAUAUUGCACAAUGGGGGAAACCCUGAUGCAGCGACGCCGCGUGAGUGAAGAAGUAUUUCGGUAUGUAAAGCUCUAUCAGCAGGGAAGAAAAUGACGGUACCUGACUAAGAAGCCCCGGCUAACUACGUGCCAGCAGCCGCGGUAAUACGUAGGUGGCAAGCGUUGUCCGGAUUUACUGGGUGUAAAGGGCGUGUAGCCGGGUUGACAAGUCAGAUGUGAAAUCCUGCGGCUUAACCGCAGAACUGCAUUUGAAACUGUUGAUCUUGAGUACUGGAGG
rnacentral:rRNA from 1 species